UACGUAGGGUGCAAGCGUUAAUCGGAAUUACUGGGCGUAAAGCGUGCGCAGGCGGUUGUGCAAGACAGAUGUGAAAUCCCCGGGCUCAACCUGGGAACUGCAUUUGUGACUGCACGGCUGGAGUGCGGCAGAGGGGGAUGGAAUUCCACGUGUAGCAGUGAAAUGCGUAGAGAUGUGGAGGAAUACCGAUGGCGAAGGCAGCCCCCUGGGAUAACACUGACGCUCAUGCACGAAAGCGUGGGGAGCAAACAGG
rnacentral:rRNA from 1 species